rnacentral:rRNA from 1 species
GGUGCUACACCUGCAGGUUUACGGUGAAGCAAGCUUGCUUGCGUGGAUCAUUGGCGAACGGGUGAGUAACACGUGAGCAACCUGCCCUGGACUCUGGGAUAAGCGCUGGAAACGGCGUCUAAUACUGGAUAUGAGCACGUUGACCGCAUGGUCGGUGGUGUUGGAAAGAUUUUUCGGUCUGGGAUGGGCUCGCGGCCUAUCAGCUUGUUGGUGAGGUAAUGGCUCACCCAAAGGGCGGUUCCGAACGUGGUUAAGCCCCGGGCCCUUGGAAGGAAGGGGUUGGACCCGGGCCCAACACCUUGGGGAACCUUGAAGAACCAACGGGGCCCCAAAACUUCCCUUAACCGGGAAAGGCCAAGCCAAGUUGGGGGAAAAUUAUUUGGCCACCAAAUUGGGGGGCCCGAAAACCCUUGAAUUGCACAGGCAAACCCGCGCCCGGUCGGUUGACGGUAAUUCACCCGCGCCCUUUCCCGGCGCUUUUGUAUUAAAACCCCCUUCCUUUUUAAAGCGGGGAAAAAAAGGCCAAAGAUUUGAACCGGGUAACCUUUGGCCAAAAAAAGGGCCGCGCGGCGUUAACUUUACCGUUCCCACAGAGCGGCCGGGUAUAAUAUACCUUUAAGGGGGCCGCCAAAGGCCGUUUAAUUCCGAGGAAAAUUAUUGGGGGCGGUUAAAAGAAACCCUCGUAGGGCCGGGUUGGACGCCGUCUGGCUUGUUGAC